rnacentral:lncRNA from 1 species
UUUUUUGUUUGAUUGCCAUUAAUAUACAAAGCCUAAAUAUGGUCUGAUUACCAUAAGUCAUCUGCUUGGAGCGAGGGCAAGGAAUCAAUCUCAUUUGCAGCCAUCAUCAUGAAUCUGCUAUACACUCAGCACAGCAACAUGAAUGCAGCUAGAUGCCAUUAUCUGAAGUGAACUAAUAGAGAAAUAGAAAACCAAAUACCACGUGUUCUUACCUGUAAGUGGGAGCUAAACACUGAGUACAAAUGAACAUUAAAAUGGAAACAGACACUGGGGACUACAAGAAAGGGGAAGGGCAGGAGGGCAAGG